rnacentral:rRNA from 1 species
AGGAUAAACGCUGGCGGCGUGCAUGAGACAUGCAAGUCGAACGGACGAUCAGGGCUUGCUCUGAUCGUUAGUGGCGGACGGCUGAGUAACGCGUAGGUGACCUGCCCCGAAGUGGGGAAUAACUGCCCGAAAGGGUGGCUAAUACCGCAUGUGGUGGUGUGUUCGAUCACACCAGUAAAGCCGCAAGGCGCUUCGGGAGGGGCCUGCGUCCGAUUAGCUCGUUGGUGGGGUAACGGCUCACCAAGGCGACGAUCGGUAGGUGGUCUGAGAGGACGAUCACCCAGACUGGGACUGAGACACGGCCCAGACUCCUACGGGAGGCAGCAGUCGGGAAUUUUGCGCAAUGGACGAAAGUCUGACGCAGCAACGCCGCGUGAGGGAUGAAGGCCUUCGGGUUGUAAACCUCUUUAUCAGGGAAGAUAAUGACGGUACCUGAUGAAUAAGUCACGGCUAACUACGUGCCAGCAGCCGC